rnacentral:ncRNA from 2 species
CACAGGGUAGAAGUCUAUGCGUUAAGGAUCACAAAAACGGAAUGUGGGUUGUGAUUGAAAAAUUUAUUCAAAAGCUCUUUGGAGUUAUUAAAGAAUAAGUUUGCGAUGUAGGUUUCGCAUUCACUGAC